rnacentral:rRNA from 1 species
UGCCAGCCGCCGCGGUAAUACGGAGGAUCCAAGCGUUAUCCGGAAUCAUUGGGUUUAAAGGGUACGUAGGCGGGACUUUAAGUCAGUGGUGAAAGCCUCCAGCUUAACUGGAGAAUUGCCAUUGAAACUGAUGUUCUUGAGUAUGGAUGAGGUGGUUGGAAUAUAACAUGUGGCGGUGAAAUGCAUAGAUAUGUUAUAGAACACCAAUUGCGAAGGCAGAUCACUAAACCAUUACUGACGCUGAGGUACGAAAGCGUGGGGAGCGAACAGGAUUAGAUA